GAGGGAGAGGCUCCAGGUAGCCUUGGUAGUGACUGAUCCAGAUGCCCUAAUGAGGCAUUUGAAAUUAUGUCUGAUGAGCCCCCGAAUGACUACCUCAUGCUGUCGAUCCUGGCCUACUUGCUGUGUUGUCCCAUAGGCAGUGCAGCCAUGUACUACUCUUCCCAGACAAGGCGCCACAACUAUAGGAAUGAACCAGACUUGGCAGCUGAGACCUCUGAGACAACCUUCGUACUCUCAAUCAUAGCAAUUUCUUUGGGAUGCCUCAGUAUACUCAACACCUGGAUUGUGAUCAUAAUGACCAUAUUUGCUCAGUAACCUCCUCUUCAGCUCAUGAACAAACCACCAAAUAUAUACAGUAGUGUCAGUCACCUUGGCUCUAAGUAUCCAUUUGGGCCAAAUGGGACAACUGCUCCUCAAUGUCUGGACUGCCAAGUAUUGACAGCCUGAGCCAGCAACUUGAGGUGGGUGAUGGGAGCGACCACUUCCUAGUGGUCGCUCAAGAAAACCUAUUGGACCCGAUCCCAAGACCAACAGUGGGAUCCUGCCAAGGCAUGUGGGCCAUGGGAUACAGGAUAGGGCACUGGUUCCCCAGGGUAGCCUCCCUCUGCCCACAUUCAUGCAUUCAUGCCCUAAAUCUAUUUAUGCUGUCAAAGACCUUGGCUGUGCUGCCUCAUUCUGGGGACCUAACAGUGACAACUUCAGAUCCUUCCACACCCUCUCAGAAUUUAUAAACCAGGGUGGAAGACACACAUAUCACUAGACAGUGGCAGUCCAGAGUAGUCCAAUCUCUCAUAGGGGAAAACGAAGUAGUGGGAAUGUACAAGGGCAGAACUGCCCUGGAGUACUUGUGGUCUACCAGAAAACCAGGGAGUUGAGCCACUGUCGGUGAACUGGUUAGAACUCAGGUCAGGUUAUGAGUGUACACAGUUUUUAUACCAGGUAUGGUGCCUCCUCCCCACCUCAAACCACCACCUGUAAUGCUUGUGAUUUAUUCAUAAGUCAACAAAUACACUCUGAUCACCUAAGAUGUAACAGGCACUGUACUAGGAGCUAGGAACUAGGAUCCCAACACAGCAAGCUAAGACCCCUUUCUGAUUGACCUUACUAUUAUAACCAACUCUUAAUGAUCUGCAAAAUAAGUGUAGAGAUUGCUAGUAGGUAUUGUGAAACUUACAGCAAUUUGGCAUUGCCAAGACAUCCAAGUAUAUGAUCAAUAAACUCGUCUUGUUCAACGGGGUAUAGACCAAAAAUCUAUCGAUGACAGAUUGGAGAUAUCAAAAUAGGCACUCCUAUUCCACAACCACAAAUAGUUUGAGAUGCACUAGGCUAGUGGACAGUGAAUUCUAGAAGGUAUAUUGUUGAGGGUCAUGCUAGCAGCUAUAACAAACCCCACCAAUUCCACAGCUCACACGACAGAACUUUAUUCCAUGCUCACAGAUCCUCCCAAUGUGGGCAUCUCCGGUGGCCCACAUACUAAGUCAAGGAUCCAGGCUCCUCCCACUUGGUGAUUCCACCAUCUUCUAAGGACUCAGAGUACUUUGAAUUGAGGCAGAAGAUGAGAGACUGGAGAACCUCCACUACCUUCUUAAAAUUCUCUACCCAAAAGUGAACGCUUUGCACUCCUGGUGGGAAUGUAAAUUUUGACAGCCACUAAAGAAAACAGUAUGAAGAUUCCUCAGAAAAUUAAAACUAGAACUACCAUAUGAUCCAGCAAUCCCAUUUCUGGGUAUA